GAAGUACUCCCUCCGUCCGGAAUUCAUUGUCGCAGAAAUGGAUAAAAAUAAAUGUGUCUAAAACUAAAAUACGUCUAGAUACAUCUAUUUCUACGACAAGUAAUUCCAGAUGAAGGGGGUACUUC
rfam:Triticum aestivum genome assembly, contig: Triticum_aestivum_CS42_TGACv1_scaffold_160490_2DL